GGGGAUAUAGCUCAGUGGUAGUGCUCUUGCCCUGCAUGCACAAGGUCUUAGGUUCGAUCCCUGGUACCACCA
rnacentral:tRNA from 1 species